UGCCUUUUGUGUUGCCGGUUCACUUUGGUCGCUAGUGGAUGUGGUGUCAAAAAAGGCAGAAAUAAAAUACUUAGCAGCAUUUCCUCUUGCCUUGGAAUUUUUGUUCCAUUGACAGGUGUGCUGUAUAAGUGACAAGU
rnacentral:snoRNA from 1 species